GAGAAGAACGUAGCGAAAUGCGAUAAGUAAUGUGAAUUGCAGAAUUCAGUGAAUCAUCGAAUCUUUGAACGCACCUUGCGCCCUUUGGCUAUUCCGAAGGGCAUGCCUGUUUGAGUAUCAUGAACACCUCAACUCUCAUGGUUUGCCAUGAUGAGCUUGGACUUUGGGGGUCUUGCCGGCCUAUGGGUCGGCUCCUCUCAAAUUAAUCAGCUUGCCAGUGUUUGGUGGCAUCACAGGUGUGAUAACUAUCUACGCUUGUGGUUUUCCAUCAGGUAACCUUCAGUGAUGGAGGUUCGCUGGGGCUCAUAAAUGUCUCUCCUCAGUGAGGACAGCUUUUUUGAACGUUUGAUCUCAAAUCAGGUAGGACUACCCGCUGAACUUAAGCAUAUCAAUAAGCGGAGGA
rnacentral:misc_RNA from 1 species